UUAAAAGGGUAAGCAAGGUUCCAGAAUUACUUAAUCAUCACACCUAAUUGCCCAUGCUUGCCUUUAUGUAGGAAAAUUCAUUAACUAUUCUGCGCUGAGUGGGGUGCAUCAAUGCAAGGCUUUGCCUUCUGUCUGCAUCUGGGCUACUGGAGAUAAGGUCUGGGUUUAUUUACCUAGAAGCAAAGUCUACACCAAGAUGAAACUGAAACCACAUGUGUAACGUGGGUGCUCCUGCUGUAUGGUCACAGUCCCUUAUCACAGGGCAUACCUGCCUUUGCUCUUAUCAGUGUGACAGCAGAGGUGCCACUGCUGCUGCAGGAUUCACAUGCUGGCACAACUUACAUGACAAAUGAUCUCUUAAAUAUCCUCAGUCUGUCCUGUCUGUGAUUCAAGUGAACAAGUCCAAAAAGGAAAUUCAGGUGAGAGCAAUGAGUUUAUCCUACAAAGAUGGAGUCUUGUGAAGAGGGGGACCUGUGUCACCCGACAAAUUAAAGUCAACUUGAGCACAGCAAAUGAGUGCCCCUUUGGCAGAGCUACCCAGCUUAGACAAUGAGACUUUGAUUCUGUGUUGCUGGAGGAUUCAGAAGUGUUCAUUAAAGAGCAGAGAGGUGUUCACAGAGCAUCAGAGCCUCCAGCAUCUUCUAAAUAGAACUAAUCAAACAGUUGGGUUUCUGAUAAAACAACAUCUAACACAGUGAUGGCUGCAUGUUUGUGUUCCCAGCUACUACUGCAAAAAAAAAAGAGGUUUAUUUCUAAACAUCUUUGACAUAUGUAAACAAAAAAUGUAUUAUUUAUAACGAUGCUCAUGUGGCAACAAAAUAAAAAUUGGGAAAAAAAUAUCUUGGUUAAUAUUUAAGCAUCCUGAAACAGCUUGAAGAAACCAAAAAAUUAUGAAUAAUCAAAUCAUCACAAAUUUAAAAAUGCAUGUAUUAGGUAUGUAGAAUAGUUAUAUUUGGAAAAUUUAGGCUAAAGGAGGGAGAAGACCAUUGAAACACAAGUAAACAACAGUAGUUAAUCACAUGAGGCCUUCUGUAAUCUCAUACAAAAGCAAAGUGAGACUUUUUAAUAUUUAUUCAUUCUUUUAUAAAAAUUAUUCUGCUGCCUGUAAAUUAGUAAUAUCUACAGGAUCUACAUAAUUCAUGAUUUGAUAAAUAUUUUACUUUUUUUCUGCUUAUAUUAACAGUUCUUACACAAAUAAAUUGAAGCUGUAUAGCUGCAUUUGCUAUGCAUGUUUGCCCUAUCAUAACUGUGACUUUAAAGAAGCCCUGGGCAGGCUCUGUGCUCUGCAGGUCCUCCAAAGGCAAAUCCCCAAGGAGUGGCAGUGACAGGGUCUCAGACGCAGCGUCCUCAACCACAUGGUGACUGACUGAUUGGUUUGGGGGGUUUGGUGGUGUGGGAGGUGUUUUUACAUAAUAAACAGGACUAAGUAGUUUCAUCUAUUAGAGGCCAAGUCCCUUACUGCUCCCAGUGAUCUUCUAUUCUUCAGCCACAAGCUGUCUAUUGGUGCCCAAACUGCUAAAAUUCCUUCCCAUCACAGGUAUCUUAAAAUAUUGACUUUGUCACAGGACACUGCAGCAGCCUAGUAUAAUACUGCACAAGCCACAAGUUCUAUUCUAUGCAAGCAACUACAAACAGUCAGGGAAAAUGGAUACCCCAACCUUACUGCCAGCAGAGGACAACUUCAUCUCACAAAGGCAGGACAGAUAAAGAGAAAAUCAAGUUUAUACAGUUCCAGUUCCCUUUAGAUCCUGCUCUCACUCACCAAACUACAGUUUUCCUGAAUACAAACUUCAUGUCUCACUAUUUACAUGAAUACAAGAUGCGCACACACUUAUAUAUGUAGAGUGUGUGUGUGUGACAUAUAUAUAUAUAAAUACACAGAUAUAUAUAUAAAAAAAAGCAUGACAUUAUGUCAACUCCUCAAAUUAUAACCUUGUGUACCCCACCCCAAGCAUAAACAGUAAUUGUUCACAAUCUGUAACACAUGUCACUUUUUAGGUCACUGGACAACAGCCCAUACAGAGCAGAAGGGAUCAAAAAUUAGUGCUACUGCUGAAGAGGAAAAAUACAAAUAAAGCCAAGAAAUGAAGACAUGGUAAUGCUAUGAAUACAGAUAAUAACCUAUUAAACAACAAUUCUUACCAGAUUUUAUUCAUUUAUUCAUUUUUAAGUGAACAUUUCACUUUCUUCAAAUACACAAUAUGCAAAAAGAAAAUUUAAUAGUUCCUCAUUUGAAAAAAAACUCCAGACCCUGUUUCUAUGGUGUUGGUUUUUUUUUGAAAGCAGCAUUCAUUGACAUGCAAAAUAAAACUAAUACUACCUUGUAUUGAAAUUACCACCACUCAUUCCCUGUUUCAGGGGAGGGCCAUUUAUACUAAUGAAAAGUGAGAAAUACCAGCCCUAGCUGGUAGAGCAUAGAUGUUACAUGCAAUAGUUGUAAGUGGUUGUUUUAAGGCUGGAUUUUUUCCUUCUUGUCUCAAGCAGCUAUUGAAAUACUGUGCUUGGAAACAACCAGCAGUUACUAGAUUUAGUGUUUGGUUUUGUUCUGUAGUGGAGCUUUUGUUUGAUUAUUUUUAGGGGUAUUUAUUGUGCCUAGAAUAACUUUCAAUCUGCAGUUUAAUACUUACCUCUCUGCUCAUAAGCUUCAAAUGUUUCUUUGAAAACAGAGGCAUUAAAGGGUGUGCCCUUUAAGUGCUUCUUCUGUAACUACAGACUGAAACAUUUUGUUUUCCUCACACAGGCACAGCACAUGUGAACACACAGACCCAUUUUUCCCGGGCUGCCAUUCUCACAGUCACGUCUCCUGCUCUCCCUCUCUUUGUCUCUUGUUUUUUCCCCUUUUAUGCAGUCCUGAUGUUUUGAGAGACACAAAAUAACACCAUGGAUGGUUUUACCGGAGUUUAAAAGCUAAACAGAACCUUCUGUUUAGAACCAUCCUGUCGGAACUCAAAAUGUCCCUCAGACAUUUUUGGAGGUUCCAGGCCCAGGUCAGAAGCAUUUGAGACUCUGGCAGGCAGCUGGAAACAGCUGUGAUUUUGGAUUUGAACCAUGGAAUGAUUUACCAACCUUGCAGGAAGAACAAGAGGUCACAAAAGUUUAGAUGCUACAGUAGAAGUAGUCACAAAGUAAAGGGAAGAAUUUUUGAGUGCUGUACAGGGGGGUUUUAAGUCCUGUUCAGGAAGUUUUAGUUUUGUACAUGGGGGUCAGAAGUUUUAAGAUGGAGGGAUUUGGGCCUGUCCUGUCCUCCCUCUUUCUUCUUCCUUACCUCCAUGUUCUUGGUGAUGUUGGCACUCGCAGAUUGGUUUAGAGUAGAAAAGCACCAUUUAAUAUAGGUAAUAGGCAUUGGGGAAAACUAUAAACAUGUAACACAUAAUGUACCAUAUAAAAGAUAGCAGCAGCCCUGGGUGGGGAGAGAGAAGAAGCAGUCGGGAGUCAGAGAGGAUGUCAGGGUGUGUGUGUGCCUCUGCCUGAGCUGCUGAACAGAGCACAGCAGCCCGAGAAGAAAAUCUUUUAGAUAACUUGCAAUAAACAACCAUGAGACCGAACAACAAGAGACUGCUGAGCCUUUCUUUGAAAGCACAGGUUGGAGGAGAGACUUUUCCACCACAUGGAGCCACCCUCGACCCAGGGUGGGCUUCGGCACCACCCUGUCCCAGGCAGUGGCUGUGCUCCUGCUGCUGCUCCCAGAGAGCCGCCAGAGGUGCUCCCGUGGCACCUCUUGCUCCCAAGCACUGUCCCGAUGGAAGCACCUGGAGCCAGGUGGGAUCCAUCCCUCCCUCUGCUGUUAGCACCCCUCUGCCUUUCCUGGGCUGCUGUGGCAGUGCCCUCCCUCCUUCCAGCUGGGCAGGUGCAUCUGAGCUCCACUGGAGGAUGACCCCUCUGCAGCCCAGCCCCGUUUUUACAGAUGGGAUGAGCUCCUGUGACACCAGGCCACCAGGCUGAGAGGAACUCAUGAGCAGAGAGAACCUCAAUGCUCCCAUGAGACAAGAUGUUAGCACAAGUUCUCCCUCACAGGCGCAGCACAGCUCAGACACCAAAAUGGCAAUCAGCUGAAAAGAGGCAGUGCAGUCCCAUUUCUGCCCUUGGCAUCCAGUGGGUGCAGGAGCCAAACAUGCCAGGCAAACAUGGUGCUGCAGCACUGCCACAGACACCUGCACUCCAGAGAGAGAAGAUGGUGGGAAGGGGCAGAAAGCAGGUAGCUGCUGCUUACAGGCCGAGUAUUAAACUAAAAAUCAACCUCUCACUGCUAGCACCAUUAGAAGAGCGUUCAUGAUCUCUGUGGGGAGCCAUUUUCAUCUCUUCUUUGAUGUGAGAAAGGGGAAAGUGAUAGUGCAUUAUAAACAGGAAUGAAAGGGGCAGGUUUGGAAUCAUUAGGUAAACUCCCUGUCUCUUAUAAAUGAAAUGUUCUUAAAUUUAUUCAGUUUCUCAUCUCAUCUGGACAUAUUAAAGCAAAGUAUCUGGGAAGACAAAGAACUCAUGUGUUCAUUCUAUAUCUGGCCCCUGGAGCAGCUGCAGUUAAAGGAAGAUGAGUUAUUAAAGAGAAACUCUCCAUUUGGUGGCAUUUUGUAGGUGGAAGUUCUUUGAGACACUCCUAUUACCUGAAAUAGUCACUAAAUAGUUUUACUCGGCUGGGAUUUUGGGGUAAUCUGAAAUAUGACACUUUUCUCUCUGCCUUUCAAGGUGAAAUUCACAGACUUUACCAAGGUGUAGACUUCUGCAUGGAUCUCAAUAUUCCCAGAUGCAGAAGCACGUUCUGCCUAUGACUCAAAAAAUAACCCUUGUCCACCUUUCUAUUACUCUCACCUUUUUCUUUGCUGUACUUCUAGCUUUUCUCCACUUGCCCACACCAUCUUCUGACUUCUUUGUCCCAUUUUCCCUUUUUAGCUCACUUAUAAUUAGGAGAAAUUUCCAAUUCUAUUCUCCAACAAGAACUAUUUUUCAGGAAUGAACUCCACUGGCCUUUGCAGUCAGUGGACCUGUUUUAAAAUUACUUUUUCCUUAGUGCUGACAGGCAGAGCUCAAGGAAAUUCACUUUCUUGAGGUAUAUCAGCAAAGUCUUCCAAGGCAAACACAACCUCCUGCUGCCUGCUCUUCAAGCACACACAAACUUGGCCAAUGCCCUCAGCCAAAUAAAACUUUUAUGGCCCUGGUGAGUAGCUGAGCCACCAAAGUACUAAGCCAGUUAAAAGAAAAAAGAAGUGUUAAAGCCAGGGUACUAAGCCUAGUAAGAUCCAUUAGCAUUGUGUUAGUAGGCCCAGGUUUUAGUGCAUCUGGAUCUUCAUCAGAGUAAACAAAUCUACACUCAGACUACUGACAAAGGGAGCUCAUAUCUGCCUGCAAAAGACAGCACAGGAAGAAACUGAGGUUAUUGGUAAUAACCAUGCUGAAGCUCAACAGGGACCUAUGGGGAAGUCCAAGGCUUGAUGGCAUAUUAAUAGUUUUAUUCUAACUUUCUCCCAAACAGUAUUGGUCUUCAGCAGUAUCUUCAGAUGUUUAUGUCCAGAGAAAUUUCUGACCUUUUAAUAAAGCCUUCUCCAAAACAACAUUCCUAUCUUUUCUCCAAAAAUAAAGUAAUUCCAAAAACCUCCACUUGAUUACUCUUGCUAAAAGAGAAUAACCUGUCAUCUUUAAUAUCACACAAUACCUGCACUAAGAUUUAAAUCACUUCUAGGAACUUGAGUCAGCUGUUUCUGUGUUAAUGUGGCCCACCUUUGCACAGAGUUUCACAGCUGAAAACUUGCUGAGGUGACACUCUCAUUACCAAGAAUAUAAUGUGGAAAAAUAUUUUUAAAAUGUAAGGUGCUCCAUAUACAUACUGUAAAAGAUGCACAAAGGGCUCUGUUAACACUUUCAAGCAUCUUGAAUGCUUAAAUAAUUUUUGAGCAUAUUUUGACCAUUGUGUCAUUAGAAUCAUACUGAAUCAUAGAAUUAUACUGAAUUAUGUCACUCUAAACAAAAAAGGCAUUAAAAUUAUUUGGAUAAAGCACAUGAAUAAAAAAAAAGAUUGCUGAACUGAUGCUGUACAGCUGAUAGAUAAGAAUAACACCUUUGUUGUGUAGGUUUUACAAAUUCUGUGAGCCUAAGUGCUUCAGCACAAGGAUUUCUUCUAAAAAAAAAGGAAGUAUGCACUCUACUCAAAGCUCAAAGCACACAUGAGCUUUCCUAUACUCAGGAGUUUUGCCGAUUCAAGUAUCAACAUGAGCUCUGAGGAGCAGCAGCAAGCAAACUUUGCUCUCCAAAGUCUGGUUAAGGCAGCAUCCAGCAUCAAAAUACAAAUUCUAGGAGAAGGAAAGCAAACAAUAGAGCUAUUAACACUGUUGGUCCUUAAACUCUCAGAUAUCAGUGAAAUUCUUUGCCAGUCUUUUUUAAAUUAAGUGCCCAAUCAUUAGAAUAAGUACUAACCAACAAAGCUGCUUAUUAUAGCAGCAUGAAGGGUGGCUUUUAAUUGAUAAUAAAAUAUUUUUAAUUACUAAUAAAACUCCAUUAACACUUGAAACAUGGAUACUGGGAUGCUAAAAUAAGCUUAAAGAUUAAUGAACCAAGUCUAUCUCCAAUACAGACCACCCACAGCCCUCUCAAGUUUCACUUACCAUGGGGAUGUGGGAGAAACAAUCAAUUUAAAGAUGAACAGGAUGCAGUGGGUAUCAGUAGUGAGUACACACAGACUUUCAGAUUAUCUCCUGAAGCUACAAGAAGCUAUUUUGGAAAGCCAAUCUUCUACAGUGAGUUGUAGAAAUAAAAGAGUAAGAAAUAAAGCAGUAAGCAAUUUAAAAAAAAGUAUUGUGUAAUACAUGGAAUUAUGAAAAAUACCAAUAUAAGAGACUUCUCAGAUUUGUCUGUGUGUGCAUGAGUGCAGUUCAAAUUAUGGAGAUCCAAUAAUGACUUGGAUACACCUCAAAAGGUGGAGGGAGCCUUGGGCUAAUGUGCUGAUAGACACUGGAAGAAGCCAAGAAGACUAUUGGGCUAUUAAUCCAAGACCCAUACCUCAAGUGUAACUUUCCGAAAACAACAUCUAUUUGUCCUUUUAGGAAUUGUAACAUUCAUUAAGAAACAUGAUAAUUCAGAUUUUCUGUCAUCAUAAACCCUUCCAUUCUCUCCUCAAAAGUAAAAACAACCAUGAAAUGGAGUUGCUUCUAACCACUUCAAUCACUUAGUUACAGGUCACAGUUUCUUGAUGAAAAAUUGUUUUCAAGUACCAGUUACAAAAGCGUAUCUCAGAUAUGAGGUCUGUAAUUUUAUUAUAAUUAGAAGUGUUUGUAUGUACAGCUGAAGAGGAGGUGCAAGGCACUGCUCACUGUGUAGCUAACACACAGGGAAUGCCAGAGGAGGAGAAGCAACUCACUGCAAAGGGAUGGGAACCAAGGAAAUACACACUUUAAAAGCAAAGACAUUUGAGAAACGUACUCAUGGAGAGAUCACAGAUUUUGGCCAAGAACAUGCAGAAAUCACAUUCAUCAAACAACACAUCGAUUGACAGUCAAUGAAUGGAUGAAGCCAAGCAAAAUCAAGCUAAAAAUUAAGAAUGAAAAGUUUUGUAGUGACAGGUAGCAGAGCGUGCCAGCUGAGUGAGCUGAAAGGCUGAGACAAGUUUUCAGCUAGAGAAGGCAUAUUUGUUUAGAAAGGGUGAUUAACCAGUACAACCCCACUGCCAAGAGCAGUAACACACACAGCAGUUGUUGCUGCCUUCCUGGGUGUCUUUCCAAGAGCUACACUUCAGCCAAACCAGGAUCCAAACCAGGAUCAACAAAGGGGUACCUGUGCAAAAUAUAAUGGUCUGGGUUUCACAGAAGGUCAGGUGGAAUGAUCUAAUGAUCUUUCUUGGUCUUAAAUUCUCUGACUCAAACAGAAAGAGGCUGACAGAGCACAGGAAAAGAACACAGCACAUGCAGUUCAGAUCAGUGAGCUCCACCUCGGAAGGAAAAAGAAGAGUGCAUUGCAGAACAUACAUUCAGCACCAGGGACUCACUGCAAAUGCUGGUGGUGGGACACUAAAAACUUGAGGCAAAGAUUGUAGAACUUACUGAAAUUACUGAUGAUUUCCCUUCAAGAGGAACCUGUUGAAGGGGUUUUAUUUGCUUAAGCAAGUGAAUAAAUGUAACUGUGAAACUACUCUCCAUAUAUAGAGAACAUCGCUGGGAACUAACAGAGAGCAGGUAUUUUUCAGUACUACUUUGGUGACACAGAAAACCCAGACCAGAAAAUAUUUAGUAAUUGUUCAGAUUUCACCAUCGUAUCAUCUUACUUACACCCACAAUAUAGGGAGAAGAUAACAGUAUUUUUCUUCACAAAUUAUAUAUAUUUAGCCUGUUUUUUGGCAGUCAGCCACAGCUCAGAAAAAUCUGAUCUUCCUCCUAGAAAGUCUGUACUUACUUUAUUUCUAAGACCAAGAAUGUUAUACAAUACCAAUACAGCUCAAUUAUUUAGAAAGGCAGAUCUGGAAUACAUGGUCUUUGUGAAAGCUCUAAAUCACACUUAAGACAAAAAACAUGUUCAACAGUUCAAUCCAGUAUUUUUUUAUUUUCUACCAUCCUUCAAAUAUUUUUACCUAUUUUUUGGCAGUAAAAGUAAUGGCUUUUCCCCUAAAAUAUUGCUAAAGAAUAACUAUCUAUGCUACAAAGACAACAUCAGGUUCUCAGGACAUUUAGACUCAACAAAUAUUACAGAGGCCCAUUGUGAGCUAUGUAUAGCUGGAAAAAUCAAAUUUCAUCUGCCACUCUGUCAGGCUGCAUUCCAAAAUCAUUUUAUCACUGCAGUGAAUACCAAGAUAUUUAUCUUUCCUGGCCAGGUUAAUCUUGUGUUUCAUAAUUAUCAUGACUGCUGUAAACACAUUCAGUUCUGUUUCUGCACUUGCAAGUGGUGCCAAUUUGAGGGGAAACUGAGCUUAAAGACAGUUGCUUUUAUUUACUUUUAACUCUAAGGCAACAGCAGAAAUUAAGAAGUAUACUGCAUUGGAGAUUUAUUACUAGACAUGUGAUGAUAGCUUUCCAGUUAAUUUUUUAGCCUCAAACUAAAUUGUAAUUUAAUUGCAAGGCUACCUCAUUUAC
rnacentral:lncRNA from 1 species